UACGUAGGGUGCAAGCGUUAUCCGGAAUUAUUGGGCGUAAAGAGCUCGUAGGCGGUUUGUCGCGUCUGCUGUGAAAACUGGGGGCUCAACCCCCAGCCUGCAGUGGGUACGGGCAGACGUAGAGUGCGGUAGGGGAGAUUGGAAUUCCUGGUGUAGCGGUGGAAUGCGCAGGAAUAUCAGGAGGAACACCGAUGGCGAAGGCAGGUCACUGGGCCGCAACUGACGCUGAGGAGCGAAAGCAUGGGGAGCGAACAGG
rnacentral:rRNA from 1 species